UAUGGUGGUGUAAGCAGCGGUUCGGCUCCUCAGCCAGAGGAGACGUCGUAAGAGGGAACCUGGUGUGAAUCCAGGACUGUCCCGCAGCGGUAA
rnacentral:ncRNA from 1 species